rnacentral:rRNA from 1 species
UGAGGAACAUGACCUUCGGCGGGGGAGUAGCCGGCCCGAACGGCCGGGUAAUACCGCGUACGACCACAUGGGGACAUCCCUGAGUGGUGAAAGCAGCAAUGCGCCGAUGGAGUGCCUCGCGGCCUAUCAGCUAGUUGGUGAGGUAACGGCUCACCAAGGCAACGACGGGGUAGCUGGUCUGAGAGGAUGGCCAGCCACAUUGGGACUGAGACACCGGCCCAGACCUNUACCGGGGAGG